rnacentral:rRNA from 1 species
AGCAGUCGCCGCGGUAAUACGAAGGGGGCUAGCGUUGUUCGGAAUUACUGGGCGUAAAGCGCACGUAGGCGGAUAUUUAAGUCAGGGGUGAAAUCCCGCAGCUCAACUGCGGAACUGCCUUUGAUACUGGGUAUCUUGAGUAUGGAAGAGGUUAGUGGAAUUGCGAGUGUAGAGGUGAAAUUCGUAGAUAUUCGCAGGAACACCAGUGGCGAAGGCGGCUAACUGGUCCAUAACUGACGCUGAGGUGCGAAAGCGUGGGGAGCAAACAGGAUUAGAUACCCCGGUAGUCCCUGUCUCUUAUAC